rnacentral:rRNA from 1 species
GACGAACGCUGGCGGCGUGCCUAACACAUGCAAGUCGAGCGAGUGAAUCUCCUUCGGGAGUGAAACUAGCGGCGGACGGGUGAGUAACACGUGGGCAACCUGCCUCAUAGAGGGGAAUAGCCUUUCGAAAGGAAGAUUAAUACCGCAUAAGAUUGUAGCUUCGCAUGAAGUAGCAGUUAAAGGAGUAAUCCGCUAUGAGAUGGGCCCGCGGCGCAUUAGCUAGUUGGUGAGGUAACGGCUCACCAAGGCGACGAUGCGUAGCCGACCUGAGAGGGUGAUCGGCCACAGUGGGACUGAGACACGGCCCGGACUCCUACGGGAGGCAGCAGUGGGGAAUAUUGCACAAUGGGGGAAACCCUGAUGCAGCAACGCCGCGUGAGUGAUGACGGCCUUCGGGUUGUAAAGCUCUGUCUUCAGGGACGAUAAUGACGGUACCUGAGGAGGAAGCCACGGCUAACUACGUGCCAGCCGCCGCCGUAA